rnacentral:rRNA from 1 species
GAAAGCAGUCGCCGCGGUAAUACAGAGGGUGCAAGCGUUAAUCGGAAUUACUGGGCGUAAAGCGCGCGUAGGUGGUUUGUUAAGUUGGAUGUGAAAUCCCCGGGCUCAACCUGGGAACUGCAUCCAAAACUGGCAAGCUAGAGUAUGGUAGAGGGUGGUGGAAUUUCCUGUGUAGCGGUGAAAUGCGUAGAUAUAGGAAGGAACACCAGUGGCGAAGGCGACCACCUGGACUGAUACUGACACUGAGGUGCGAAAGCGUGGGGAGCAAACAGGAUUAGAUACCCCCGUAGUCCCUGUCUCUUAUAC